rnacentral:rRNA from 1 species
AGUGAACGCUGGCGGUAGGCCUAACACAUGCAAGUCGAACGGCAGCACAGUAAGAGCUUGCUCUUACGGGUGGCGAGUGGCGGACGGGUGAGGAAUACAUCGGAAGCUACUUUUUCGUGGGGGAUAACGUAGGGAAACUUACGCUAAUACCGCAUACGACCUACGGGUGAAAGCAGUGGAUCUUCGGACCUUGCGCGAUUGAAUGAGCCGAUUUCGGAUUAGCUAGUUGGCGGGGUAAAGGCCCACCAAGGCGACGAUCCGUAGCUGGUAUGAGAGGAUGAUCAGCCACACUGGAACUGAGACACGGUCCCGACUCCUAAGGGAGGACGCAGUCGGGAAUAUUAGGCAAUGGGCGCAAGCCUGAUACAGCCCAACCGCGUGAGUGAAGAAGGACUUCGGGUUGUAAAGCCAUUUUGUUGGGAAAGAAAAACAGCAGGUUCAUCCACCGAUGUUCUGACGGUACCCAAAGAAUAAGCACCGGCUAACUACGUG